rnacentral:lncRNA from 1 species
AACCAAUUAGGCACAAAACCAUGGAUUUGGUUGUUAGAAAGAUAUAGGGUAGUCAACUUGUCUUGUGUUUUGAUGAAUUCAGGAAAUUCUGUAAGGUUGCAAGAUCGUAGGCUAAGAUAAUAUAAUUGGGGAAAAGUAAAGUUUUUGUUGUUGCUUUCAAUUGAAAAGGAGGAGUUUGCAUCACCGAAAGGAAGCUCUUUAGAAAAAUUAAUGGCAUUGAAAGAAAGGUCUAAAUCUAGCAGAGUGGUCUUCCACAAUUUUGAUGAAUUCAGGAAAUUCUGUAAGGUUGCAAGAUCGUAGGCUAAGAUAAUCUAAUUGGGGAAUAGUAAAGCUUUUGUUGUUGCUUUCAAUUGAAAAGGAGGAGUUUGCUAAUUGGUUGUUAGAAAGAUCUAGAUAAGCCAACUUGCCUUGUGUUUUGAUGAAUUCUGGAAAUCCAGUAAGGUUGCACGACACUAGGUAUAACUCCUCCAAUUGGGGAAAUAUAAGGCUUUUGUUGUCGCUCCCAAUUAACAAGCUCAUAUUGGAUAGAUCGAGAGACCGUAAGUUCUUGAGUUGAAAGAACAUGUCAAGCUUCAUAGAACCAAAGUUGUUAUAGCCAAUAUAAAGUGAUUCAAGCCGUGGGAGUUGAAGGAUUGAGUUAGGAAUGGAUCCCCUUAAAUGAUUAUAGCCCAAAUUGAGAAUUGCAAGAUUUGGAACUCCAGAUCUAUGAAAUGGAGGGAUUAAACCAUUGAAACCAUUAUCUGAUAGAUCCAAUUCCACAAGAUUAGUAAGAUUUGCAACCGAUGAUGGAAUGGGUCCAAAGAAAGAGCAAUUAACAAGAUCUAAUUUUGUCAAUAACCUAAGAUUACCAAUUGAUUUUGGUAAUUCUCCACUGAAUUCUGUCCUGGAAAGUGACAAGACAUGUAAAUUGUUGUUGAUCGAAAUUCUGGCAAAUGACCCAUGAGAUUUUCAUUUUCUGAAAUAUCAAUGCUUUGCAUUUUGGGCAAUGAGAAAACUUCAGUUGGAAAAUGCCCACACAAAUUGCAAUCCCUUAGACUGAGAGAAACCAAUCGUCGAGAGGAAAUUUCCAAGAAAUUGGAGGCAAAUAAGAGACUGGAUUAUUGUCAAGGUUAAGUUUGGACAAAAAAUGGAGUCUGGAGAAGGAAGAACAAAGUGGACCUGUCAAACGACAGGAUGACAUGCUUAACACACGUAAAUUUGGAAGUGCUGACGAUAUGAUCUCACACCAUUUUGUACUUUGAGUUGAAAUGUUCACACCAUCCAAAUGGAGCUCUUCGAGAAACAUCAAAUUCUUGACUAAUGAGUUGAAAUUUGGUUUCUCUAACUUUAGAAUAGGAUAAUAAUCAUCAUCAUGAAUCAACACUUUGAUAAUUUCUCCAAUAGCAAUAAUCUUGAUUAGAUAAAUCAAGAGACACUAACCUUGUUAAGUGUGAGACUGCCAUUGGAAUUUGAUCAUGGAAACAUGAGUCUGAGAGAUUUAAAUGAGUCAAAUUUGGAAGUCCUCCAAACUCAUAGGGAUACAAAGUGGUAUUAAAAUUGUUUCCAGCAAGAUUAAGAUUUUGAAGAUGAUGGAGAUUGAAAAUGGAAUGAAAGCUUCCUGAAAGGUUUUUGUAAUUAAGAUCGAGGCCAAUAACAUAACCAAGACCAUCACACGUGACUCCUUUCCAAGAGCAAUAAUCUGUUUUGAGAUCCCAAAGCUCAAGUUUGGAAGAAAAAGUAAAAUUAGGAGAAAAGUAAAGAUGUUGCUGCAACUGAACCAGAGCAGAUCUUUGGUCAUCAAGGCGUUGGCUUUGGAUACUUGUUUUAGAUAGCACAACAGGUAUGAAGGAGCAUGAGAAGAGAAAGAAAGUAGGCAAAAAGAGUGAAAUUAGGAUACGAAGAGGGCUCAUGUUUUCUGUCUACAAAAAUGAAGGAAAGGUUGUGGAGUUUCAUAUUUCCAUACACCAUAUUUAUAGACUACUACAUCACAUUGUAUUAUAUAUCCUUAUCUGAUUAUUAAUUUUAUUAUAAAGUUAUAAAUACAAAAAAAUUAUAAUUAUAAUUAAAUAUUAUAUUCGUAUAAAAAAAUUAUUGAAUUAAAUCAAACAAAUAAAUUAAUAGAUGAACCAAUAGAUAAUUAAACAAAUUCAACAUAAAAUUAAAUCAAACUCACAAAAAAUAAAUAAGACUUAAUCUUUUGCUUUAAACUUAGUCUUGUCAUCAUAUAAAUAGUUGUCUUUUUCCUAAUUGUUACUUCAUAAUACUAAUAAUCUUAUAAGUUGCUGAAGUCUAAGUUAAUUCAAAACACAAAAAUAUAGCAAUAAAUUUCCUUUGUUAGCAAUUAAUAAAUAAUAUACUUAAAAUUUAUUGAAGAUUAAAUCAAAAGUACUAAGUUAAUAUCUGAUUUUCAUUGAAUUCAACUUUUGAAUAAAGAAAUGAGAUAAUAUAUUCUGAUGCAACAUUGCUAAAAAACUAAUAAAUUGAUAAAUUAAUAUAAAAUUAGACAAAACAUACACAGAGAGAUUAAGAGAAACCAGAUUAAUGUUUUUUAUUCAAUCCUCCAAUAGGUAUACAAGUUCUCAACUUCAACCCAAAGAGUACUUCUAAAUUAAAAAGAAUUAAAAAAAUUUGUUAAGUUUCUUGCUGGUUGAUAAGGAUUGGAGAUAAGGUCGAAGGAAUAAGACACAAAAAAGUUAGCACAAAGAGUGGAAAUUUUGAUGAUAAAUUAUGGGUAUUCUUGACUUUUAACACAAUUUGAAGCAACAUCAUUGAAGAAAUAGGAUAUCUAAAUUUGGUCUUCCAAGCUUCUUUGAAAAUAAUUAAUGUGAUCUAUAAGUAUGUCUCUUAAAAUUGGUGACUUUUCAAUUCUUUAGGAAAACUCCUUGCAAUUUCAAAUUUCUUUUUCUUCUCAAAGUAUCAUAAACCAAUUGAAACGCAAAAAGAUUAAAAAAUCUUGAACCAAACAAAAUUUAAAAAAAAAAAAACAUUAAUAAUUUUAUUUAUAAGAUCAAAUUGUUUGGCACAAAAAAUCCAACCAAUUAAUAAAUUAUUCAAAUAAACAUAAGCAUACUCAAAUCAUAAAUCAUCGCCCAUAAAAAAAUAAUAAUUUAACAUGAUUCGAUACUUAACUUAUCUACAUCUAUCAAUAAAAGAAAAGAUCUACUAAAUAUAGAGAAUUAUAAAUAUACGAUUAAAUCAAUCAACACUUACAAUAAAUAUCUAUAUACCCUCUUAUUCUUCUUUAAUUCUAAGAAUUAUACUAAAUCCAAACUAUAAAUAUUCACACACCCAUGAUCUUUUCAUUCUCCUCUAAUUAUAUUAAGUGUAAUCAAUCAAACAUUAGCACCCAAUAGUACUGCUAUUAUUUUCUUCUGGUACUAUGAAGUAUAAUCAAUUAUAUAUGCAUACCCAUGAGUACUCUCCCUUGGCCCCAUGAAGUGCUUAUCUUGGAAAAUAUUAUAAUUUUUUUUUAUAUAUUUUUUUAUACUAACCUUGUUAAGACUCACACAAUAUAUAAUAUUUCUAACUUAAUCACAAAAAAUUCCUUUACUCUUAAAAUUUUUGUCUUUCAAUUUUUUUCUUUCAAAUAACAUAUAGUUAAUCUUAAAAAAUUCUCAAACAAAUCUCUUAUUAAAUUUUUUUAAUGUUUAAGUCAAUAUUCUCGAUACAAAUACCCUUAUAAUUUGUAUGUGUAUAAUCUUAAAAUUGAACAAACCUUUUAACCAAAAAAAAAAAAAAAGAAGAAACAAAUGAGAUUACAUAGUUUUCUAAAAAAUCCCUAAACAUCCUAAAAUAAUUAAAUCCUCAGAAUGUAAAAUAAUUCAAUCAUCUUAAAUAAUUAACAAUUAAUUUUCUAAUGAAAAAUUAGCAAUUAAUUAUUUUCAUGUAUCUCAACUACAACCACAAAUCAUUUUGUGGAAGUUUAUAUAUAAAACUUGAGAAAGCACAUUGAAAGAGCGUAGAUAUUGAUGGUAGUAAUUAAUUUAACUUGUUGACUAAGUUAUUAUAUAUAACUAAAUUUUCAGAUUUUGAAAAAGAUAGGAUGAAAGAAAAACUUGAGAAUUUAGAAAGUAUUUUUGUUUUCAAAGUCCUUGAACCAAUUGACACGGUAGAACUAAAACCUUGAAGAUUUAAAAAUUGCUCAUUUUUCGAAGUCCUUAAACCUAUUGAAACAAUAGAAAAAGAAUUAGAGAAUUUUCUUAGAAUCCGAGAAAAUUCUUUUAUUAUACCAAAUUCAUAAUAUUUUGUCUUAGUCAUGUCAUUCAAAGGGAAAAAAUUAGCAAUAUCAAAAGAACCCAUUUUGCAUUUUUUUUUUAUCAAUUAUGAACUUUGCAUAAGAUAUGCUAUGUAGAAACUCUCCAAUCUUCCUUUUUUUUUUUUUAAUGCUUUUGAUUUUAUAGGUUUGGAAUAAGUCCCAAAAAAAAUUAAAAAUACAGUUGCUAUAAAAGAUAUAAUUAAAUUAAAUUUAGUUUUAUAUUUAAAUCUAAUGGAAUUGCAAAUACCAAUUAUCAAUAAAAAAAAAAGAAAAAACUAAUUGACUAGGAAUUUAGGUUCUGAUAUGAAAAAUUACAAUUAUAAUUAAAUAGUAUUUUGGUAUAAAAAUUUACUAAAUUAAGUCAAUAAAUUGAAACGAAUUAAAAACAAAAAAUUGCAAGUUUCUUGUUGGUUGAGAUGGAAUGGACAUCAGGCAGAAGGAAUAAGACAAAAAACUAAAAAUUUUGAGGAUAAAUUAUGAGAAUUAUUGACUUUUAACAUAAUUUAAGACAACAUCAUUGAAGAAAAAAAAUCUAAAUUUUGAAUUCCAAACUUCCUUGAAACCAAUUGGAGUGAUCUAACGAAAUGUCUUAUAAAAUUGACAACUUUUUAAUUCUUUAGGAAAACUCCUCGUAAUUCCAAAUUUCUUUUUCUUUUCAAAGUUUUGUAAACCAAUUGAAACGCAAAGAGAUUAAAAAAUCAAGGCUCAAACGAAAUUUUAAAAAAUUAAAAAUUUUAUUCAUAAGAUCAAGUUGUUAGGCAUAAAAAUACAAUCAAUUAAUAAAUUAUUCAAGCAAGCAUAAGUAUGCUCAAACCAUAAAUCAUCAUUCAUAUAAACUAUAAUAAUUUAAUGUGAUUUGACACUUAACUUGUCCACAUACAUCCAUAGACUAAAGAAAAACUUGUCCAUAUCCAUAAAUAAAAGAAAAAUCUAUUAGAUGUAGAGAUUUACAAAUAUAUAAUUAAAUCAACUAAUACUCAUAAUCAAUACCUAUAGACUUUCUUAUUCUCCUUUAAUCUUAUGAAUUCUCAACCCAAAUAAUAAACAUUCACACACACCUAUAGAUCUUUUUAUUCUACUAUAGUCUUAUGAAAUGUAAUCAUUUAAACAUGUGCAUCCAUUAGUACUCCUAUUAUUCUCCCCUAGUCUUAUGAAACAUAAUCAAUUAAAUAUGCACACCCAUGAGUAUUCUCCCAUAGCCUCAUGAAUUAUUUAUCCGGUAAAACUCCUUCAACUCUUUUAUAUUUUUUUAUCCGAUCAAAAAUUCCUAAACAUCUUAAAAUAAUUAAAUCACAAGAAUGUAUAAUAAUUCAAUCAUCUUAAAUAAUUAACAAUUAAUUUUUUAAUAAAAAAUUAGUAAUUAACUAUUUUCAUGUAUCUCAGCUACAGCCACAAAUUAUUUUGUGGAGGUUUAUUUAUAAGACUUGAGAAAACACAUUGAAAGAGUAUAGAUGUUGAUGGUAGUAAUUAAUUUAACUUGUUGACUAAGUAAUUAUAGAUAAUUAAAUUUCCAAUUUUUGAAAAGAAUAGGAUGAAGGAAAAACUUGAGAAUUUGAAAAUUGCUUUUGUUUUCAAAGUCUUUGAACCAAUUGAUAUCGCAAAAAUAAAACCUUGAGGAUUUAAAAAUUGUCUUUUUUUCAAAGUCUUUGAACUAAUUGAAAUGAUAGAGAAAAAAAUUAGAGAAUUUUCUUAUAAUUUGAGAAAAAUUUUUUUAUUAUACCAAAAUCAUAAUAUUUUGUCGUAAUCAUGUCAUUUAAUGGGAAAAAAUAGCACUAACAAAGGAACCCAUUUUUUUUUUUUUUUUUUUGCUUAAUUAUGAACUUUGCAUAAGAUAUGUUAGAUAGAAACUGUCUAAUUUUCCUUUUUCUUUAACGCUUUCGAUUUCAUAAUUUUGGAAUAAGUCACAAAAAAAAUUAAAAAAAAACAGUUGCUAUCAAAGAUAUAAUUCAAUUAAAAUUAGUAUUUUAUUUAAAUCCAAUGGAAUUGUAAAUGCGAAUUAUCAAUUAAAAAAAAAAGAAAAAUAAUAAUGGACUAGGAAUUUCAGUUUUGUUAUGGAAAAAAUAAUUGACUAGAGAUACCAAUUAUCAAUAAAAAAGAUAAUUGCAUAGGAAAAUUUUCAAUUUUCAUUUAUUUCACAUGUUGGGUGUUUACACCUUAUGGAAAAAUUAAUUUUAUUUUUUUUUGGAAUAAAUUAAUUUAGAUUUCAAUCAACGCUCUACCUAAGAUUAUAAAACCAAAUUCUCAGCGUCAACCCUACAACAUUGCAAGUAUCUUAUAUACAAGCUUUUUGAUGAGACAGACGGCUGAACAUGAUAAGGAAAGAAUAAGAGAUGAGAAAGCAAUUGGCAUUAUGGAAUUCUUGACUUUCAACACAAUUUUGGCACAACAUCUUGAAGGAAAAAAAUCUAAUUCAACUGAAAUCAAGAUGAAAUAAUAAGGUAGAGACAUGCUAAUGGAUAUAUUCGAGAUGUCUUAUAAAUUAAAAUGCAUAUUGUCGACUUUUUUAUUCCUUAAAAAAAGUAAUUCUAAUUCUAAAAGUUUUUCUUUCUAAAGUUUUUUAAAUCUAGAAGUGAAAAAUGGACGAAUUUAAGUAGGAUUGGAUUGGAUUUUUUUUAUUCGGAUAAUUUGGAUUCAAUUUUUCUUUAAAUUCGGAUUAUCUUAAGUUCAAACAUUUUCAAAAACAUACUAGAUUUUUACUAUUCUAUUCUAUCCAAAACUCUUUUCUUUAUUCCUUCCAUUCAAGAUUUCUGCAAAUUCUUCAUCUAAAAGUUUUUAUUUAUAUUUCUUUUUUAAAACUCUAUUUUUUCCCUUAAAUUUUCUUAUUCUUAUUUUCUUUUUACAAUAAUUUAUACAAUCAAGAAGAAUAAACAAUGGAUCAUUUUAGAAAAAAGAAGCCUUUUUUUUGUUUCUUUAAAGUAUGAGAUUUUUUUUAAAAAAAGUUUACAUUUCUUGAUUUUCAUGCAUAAUUUUUUUUAAUAUAUAUCAAUUUUAUUACUGCUACUCUAAACUCUAUUCUAUUAUGAUUAUAAAAAUUUUAAAUUGAAGUUUUCUUAUCAUUUUUUUUUAUUGAAUGGAAUUUAUUGGUCAUGAGUGCAUGUAUACAUGGAACCGUUAAAUGUUUAAGGAAUUGAUGAAUGGCUUACAAUAUGUCGAACUUUUCUCGAUUCAAUUUCCUAAAUCACAUUUUUGUCUUUAAUUUCAAAUUUCUUUAUUCUUUUGAUGGGCUUCACUAUUAAAUUUCAAUUACACUUUAUCUUAUCACUAUUAAAUAUCACUAUUAAAUAUUUGUUACAUUUGAAUUUUAUGUAAACCUUUUUUUUUUAUAUAUAUAACAAAAUUAUCUUUUUUACCAAUUAAGCAAUCAACUUUAUGAAAAGAAUUUAAUUAAAAUUUUCAAUGCCUUAAUGGUUUAAUUUAAUGGUGGUCUAACAUUGUACACUUAACAAAAGCUAUAGGAUAUUGUUGUGUUAUAGAUAGCAUUGACUCUGCUAUAUAUAUUUGUUUUUCUUUCUCUUUUCUAGAAAAUUUUGCGUUUAAAGUCUGUCCAUUAUCUAAUUGUAUUACAACCACCAAUGCAGUAAAUAAUUAUCAAAUAUCAAAACCAAAGACGGGAAAAAGAAGCAAACAAACACACAAUAUACUUUAAAACCUAUAAUCUAAACCAUACAGAAAGGAAUCCUUUUGACCAUGCAUCUCCUGCCAGCCUUAUUUCCUAUUAAUAAAUAACUAUAAAAAACUUAAAUUUAUAAUGAUUGUUAUUAUAAAUUCAAAAAAUUAAAAAUCAAUACAAAUAUAUAUAUGGUAAGAAAUUUUGAUUGAAAAAAAAUGCAUUUAAAAAAUGUGGUAAGAAAAAAAUUUUAAAAUCUAUUCACGAUAUUGAAAUUUGAGCUUACCAUGCGAUAUGAGCUGCAUCAUAGUCACUUAUCGGAGGCAUGAUCGGACUGAAGUUCUAAGCACAUCUGUUCUAAAAGUAACUUUUUAACAUCAUCCACAGAAGUUGACAAAUUUUGUCGAAUGUGCUUGUCCAAGGAAUUUGCCAUUCCCUAAUGAAUGAAAUUAAGAAAAAAGAAAGAAAUUGAGUAAAUAUGGAAUUCAUCAAACUCAUAAGAGCAAAAACAGAAGCAGGAAAGCUGAAAAAUCUUUUCUCAUCUUAUGAUAAAUGGUAUCGGUAAAGGCAAUUUCACCGUUCAAAACAAUUUCUUUAGGACGUUAACAAAUUAGAAGGGAAAGAACCUAUGACCACAACAACUUACUGACAUCCAAGCUGAUUAAAAUAAGUCAAGCAUGAUCGCAGACCGAUAGACCAUAGAUUUCGUAACUGCUUCAACUUUUGAUUUCUUCUCAAUCAUUUAACAGACAAGAUAGUGGAAAAUCUUUGUCAAGAUAUCACUCAAAGCACAAAAUUAUCAAUGAUGGAAAACUAAAACUUCUAAGGCUAAUCAAAAUCCCAAGUUAAACCUCCUUUCUCACGCCAAAUAAUGACUACUUUUCUUCUUUUAUAACCAAGCCUAAAUUGCAAACUAAUUGAAGUUGCUGCAUGAAUCAUUUUUACUAUUCUGUGCAGUAGCCUCUGAAAAGGCAAAGAAAAAGAAGAAAUUUUACUGAAAUAUGUAUUUAAGUUAGACUCUGGUUUUAACUAAGGGAAUGUUUCGAGGAGAUAAAAGUUCUAAGGCAAAAAGCAAAAAGAAAAAAGAUUGAACAAUAAUAAUAUGAAAUAAAUGCCACUUACCUCAACCUUGCAAAGUAAGCUCAAUGAAAUUCCCCUUGAAUGAUGAUCUGAGCUCUUGACAGAUAACAAUUUCAAUGCAGAUUUUGGCAGCAUCCAACCUUGAGACACCUUUAUAAAUGCAUCAAUGCCCCCGACCAUGUGAGCAAUGAUGGUCUCAUCUCUCUCUGAGUACUCAAAGGAAUGCCUGCAUUAGGUACUAUUCAAAUGUAAAAAGCUUCUCCUUUUGCAAUUUCUUUCAACUUUCCCCCAUUUUUGGUGGGUGAACAGAAAUUUAAAAAAACUUAUAUGACAAAGGAAAUGAAGUGCACAAUUGACCAGCUACUUUAAACCUCUUGAAAUUAUUAUAUCAACACUGUGAACACUUUACCUAUAUGAGUCUCACCUUGAUUUAUUUGUACUCUUCACUAUAAAUCGUCUCAAAGUACUUACGAUAAUCCUAUCCUGCACUUUUCCCACAAGCCACUCUAGUGAAGACCAUGUCUCCUGUGCCAUUAAGUUAGAGGAUAGCUGCCUGCAACAUCACAAUAGAUUAUAUACCCUAAAUAAGGAAUUCAAUCAAGGUCUACCUUUGUCAAACUGGAUAAAAAAAAUGAUUCAUGACAACUGUCAGGUUUAAUUAAGCUACUUGCCAUCUCGACAUGGUGGGUUGAUUAAGUUCCAAGAAAAUGUGAAUUUAUAUAAAUAAUAAAUGUAUAUAAAACAAUUACUGCAAACAUCUCAGUAAAAGGUGGCAAAAACUACAUAUUAUGAGCAGUACUUUUAGCACAAAAACAACAAGGAUAAUUAAAGCUUAUUCUUAAGGGUGACAGCCUGGGAAAACAGGAUCUGCCAUGAAGGGAAAGAAUAUAGGAAAUUAAAGGUUCAAAUGAGCCAAAAGAAGGACAAAUAGGUUGCUGUUCUAGUUGAAAAAACUGCCUUUCAAUAAAAACUUUGACUGAAAGUCUGAAUGAAGAACUUUGGUUUUUAAUAGAUGAAUCAAUAUGAUGGGACCAUAAUUUGAUAAUACCCUCUAAAUGACGGAUAAGUUGAUGUAUAAAAGAGGGUUGAAAGGUUUUAUAUAGGGUGGAUAGCAGCAAGGUUGAGAAAAGAGAUGCAAGUAAUUUUAGGUUUGCAAGCGCCUAAGACAUUCAAAAUUGAAAGAAGAAAGGAGAUAGACCUUCAGAGGACUUCUUCUUUUUAAGAAAUCACACUUAUGAUUCAAUCUAUUGUUCUAUAUAAAAACUGACAAAUUACAUUCCCUUUAAUGGCCUUCUGCUACUAUACAUGCACACAUCUGCAAAAAUACACAUGAUAAAUUCGGAUUCAACCUUGAAGUCAGAAAAACUGAAAAACCAAACCUGAAAGACUUUGCAGCAUCAAUUAUAUCAUCUAUGUAAACAUCAUUUGGGAACAUCUGGACAACAUGAUACAUGAACAAGCAUUUCAAAACAAUUGAACAAAAAGACAUGAAGAACCAAUAUGAUUCUUCUUUUGCAAGCAAGCACAGGUUUUCUAAUGCCUGUUUAACUUGAGCCCAAAAAAAAAAAAAAAGACACGGCAUGAAACUAAUGAAUGAAAAAAUUAUCAUCCAAAAAGAAAUAUAUGAUAGUAACUUUUGUGAAAAUGGUUUUGACACCAAAUUGUUUUUUUCUUUUUCCAGUUUGAUAGGCAUCAAAUGGGAAAGAAACUGAAUUUUUGGGCAAUCUUAAAACCAGUUUUUUCCUUUUCAGUUGACUUCACAUUAUUACAUCAGAGAGAUUAGUUACUUGUCAAGUAUGAUUAUUUAUCCAUUGACUAUCAAAAGUUUAAUUUCUUUCUUUAUGAGAACAGAGAUAAAGAAAAGAACAACAGAUUAUUUCAAGUUUUUCACAAAAAAACAAUUAGUCAUACCUCAACAUUCUUAACCUCCAUGGUUCCAUCCAUAAUCUCUACUAGCAAUUCAUGAUUCAUUUCAGAUGGCUCAGCAAUAUCUUCAAUCAUCGUUUGGAACAAUUCACCCUCUACUUUUGGAAUAUAAAUCUGUAAUGACAGCCUAAUGCAGUUUCCAUCAAACCAAAUGACUUUCAAACCAGUCAAUGCAUCUUCAAUCUGUUCUAUGGUAUCUAAUCUGAAAAUAAAAGAAAAAGAAAAGAACACAGUAAGCAAAAGGGUAAUGAUAUAGAACACAUAUAACCAAAGCAAAAAUAAGUGAACAAUCUUUUAAACAUAGAAUCAAGAUCUUGCAAAGACUUGAAAAUUAAAUUGUUCUUCUCAAUCUGACUUUCUAGUUCCAAAAUCUGAAAAGCAUAAAUAGAAGAAUAUUGGAUGUUUAAUGAAGUAAAAUAUGUAGUGUCAUUUACAACUCAAAGAAUUUAAUAUACAUUAUUAGCACAUAUACAUAAUUAAUAUCCUAAUUGAAUAUAUCAAAUAUCUAGAUCAUUAUAAAAAAGCUAGAACUUAGUCAUCAAAGAAAAGAGAUUCUUAUAAACAUGAUUAUAAAGCCAAAAACCUAUGGCACAAUUAUUAAAGUUCAGCAUCAGCUUGAAUCUAAUGCAGUAUUCAAGAAGCAAGCGAGAAGAAACAAAAGCACCCCAAACUUUUUCUCUUCAUUUGCAUCCAUCAAAUUCAAUUGAUUUUUAUAGCAGGGGUCCUCUUCUACUGUCUCCAGACCCUACAACUCAAAAUGUCAAAAGGCUAACUGUUAAAUUUGACUUCCAAAUUGAUUUCAAACUGAAUACCUUUCAAGCCAUCAAGAUUGCUUCACAAAAUGAAAUAACAUAGAGAAACCAACCUGAAGAUGCAAUAGAAUCCAAUGCACACCUCAAGCCCUCAAGAUUGCCUUCCAGUAUAUUUGUUUCUGUAAAAAUAGAAGUCAAACGUAAAUCAGCAGAAGAAAAAGCAUUUAAGAGUAAUUACAUGUGAAAAUCAAACCUAAGUCGAUGAAGCCUCACCUUCAAUAUGAUUUCUUGAAAGAUCCUCAAUUUCCUUAGAAAUCUUGGUACUUUCAGCCUCUACUUGAUUAAGCUCCUCUUUUAAGUGUGCUAAGUGUUUAUCUGUAUGAAUAAUUAAAAAAACACCAAUCUAGAAUCAGCACAACAUUGCAUUGCAGGCAUACAGAUGUUUUCCUAUGAUGUGCUAGGCAUUCAAGUGUGCUAGAUAUUCAUCUUUUAGUUUCCUAUGAUGAGUCACUUUAUAAAAUACUUGCAUUUCAGGCAAUCACAAUUAGAAGAAUAAAACAUUAAACAUGUUAUCCGAAAGAGCAUCAAAAACUUUGAAUGGAUCCUAAACUAUCCAAUUCCCUUCCGUAUCAGAAACCCUUUCAUUAUCUAAAAACCCUUUUAAACUCCAUAUUCCACAAAACCCAGAGAUUUUUCACCAAAAAGAAAAAAAAAUCCAACUUUGUUACUAAAACUUAGUAACCAUAACAUACAAUCCGAUUAAAGACAAAAACAAGCAAAAGAGGCAGUUACUUAAUACAAUACCCACUUUAAGUUCAAUUGUACAUGUAUAUGUGCAAUUGAUUUUAAUAAAAAUUAACCACAAAAAUCUAAAAGAUUAAAGGAAACAUACUUAAAUCUUCAAUUCCUAAGAAACCCACUUCAGAAUACUCUUCAACAAUUUGCUUCACUUUACUCCGCAUAAACACACUCUUAAGUCUUAAUUCAAAAAAAAAAAACAAAAAUGAAACAAAAUAUUAAAAAAUAAUAUUGAGAAUCACCUCGAAGUGAGAAGUGCAAUCUGAGCACCUUCUCGGAAUUCGAAGAGAGAGCUUCACUCUCAACCUCAUUUUUAUUGCUACUAUGAAUCUCCGAGAGCUCUUUUAUUUGGCUCAAAACAGGAGAAAAAAUUAAAAUUAACAAAAAAAGAUUUUAUAUAGAAAGGAGCAAAUUACUUCACAGUAUUAAAAAGAGAGAAAAAAACCCGCGAAGAUUGAGAGGUUGUAAUGAAGAAGAAAUCUCCGUGGGCUCUGCCAUGGUUUUUGUGUGUUUAAAUGAAUCUAAUCUCCCGCCUGUUUGAAGGUUGGUUAAGUAGCUGAGUUGCUGGCAAGAGGAGGAAAUAUGUUAAAAUUCAAAGGGGAAAGUUGAGGAUAUUUAUUUGUUUCGAGUGGAAAUGCUGGGAUUGGGCCCACUUUGGAACCAAGAAGUGGGCCCUCUUUUCAAGUCGACAAUUCUAAAGAAUCGUUCAUGAGAAAAAAAAAGUAUUAUUCUCAACUUUUAAAAUAAAAAGGUGGCAGAAAAGAAAAUUAAAAGUAUCCUUUUGAUUUUGGUUAAAAUAUUAAAAAAACACAUGAAUUAUUUUAAUUUUUAAAUAAAAUUUUAUUUUUUUAAUUUAUAUCUAAAUAAUUCUUUAUUUUAAAUGAAAGAUUAAUUUAUAUUAAAGAUUUAUUUAGAUAUAAAUUAAAAGUUAAAUAUUUAUUUGCAUGUAAUAAAAAUAUAAAAAUUUAUCUAAUUGAAAUAAAUGACAAAAUUCAGAGUUUCUUUAUUGUUUUAGCCUAAUAAUAAGUGCAUAUACUCUCUUAAAAAUUCUAAUUUAAUAAUCUUUUUCUAAUUGAAAAUAAUAUAAAAAUUUAUGAACUUUUUAAUGUGAUGAAAAAUUCAUUAAUAAAUAUAUAAAAGCAAGAAAUGGAAAAACUAAGAAUUUAUGUUUAAUUUUUCUCACCUUUUUUAUUUUAUUAGUUGAAUUAAGCUCGAAUUGCUUUCACUUUGAUCAAUUAAUUAGUCUAAAAAUAGAAGUAAUAUUCAUUUGUGAGAAUUUUAAACUCUAAUAACUAUUCUUUGGUGCUAUUAUGAAAAAUUUUAAAACAUUUCAAUCAUCAAAUAUUACCGUCACAAAACAGAGAAACUCAAAUUAAACUUUACUAUAUUUUUAUCAUAUACAAUAUUAAUAAUUUGUCUAUCUCAUUUUUAAUCCAAAAAUUACAUAUCAUCAUAAAUUCAUGUUUAUAUAAAAAAUACAAAAUAUAUUUUUUAUUUUAAUUAAAUUCAUUUAUAAUUUUUAUUAAAAUUUUAAAUCGUAUCUUUUUCAUAUAUUUUUUAUAUCAUAUUCAUAUAUUAUUUGCUAGUAUUUUUCAUAUACUUUAUAUAAUUUCAUCAUAUUGUGUUUUAAGUUAUUAGCUAAGUAUAAACUUUUUUAUUGUUAUGAUAAUAAUUAGGGGAGCCCCUGGAUCUGCCCUUUAUGGCUUUGAGCCAAGCUCCGGGCUCUGGCUGGUUUUGAAAACUUAGCAACUAUUCAAGGAGUAAAAGGAAGAGAAAUCAUUUCCAUACCACUUAGAAUGGGAUUUAUAAACAGAACAGGGCAAUCGUCUCAGUGAAUCAAUUAAGUUGACCAAAUGGAAAGGCUGCCAAAACUCAUAGUCAACAAUGGUAUGAUUUACAGGUUGACCACUAUUACACAUUGAAGAGUCUGUAUUUCGAAUUCGAGCAUCUGACCAUAACACUUAAAUGUAUGCAUCUUAAAUGAAUGCAAAACGAUGCAUGAUAGAAAAUGUAAGAAGUAGAGCACAACCUAACUGGAGAUGCAGUAUACAUACUGUCUAAAGAAAACAGCCAAAAUCCACUCGGACCUUUCUCGGCAUGUAAUGCAAUCUUCAAUGGUCCGGUUUCAAUGUCAAACACUCCAAAUCUGCAAAAGCUUGCACCCAAGCUAUCCUAUUUUAAACAGCUAAGCUUCUUCGCUGCAUCAGUGAUGCUCUGGCUUAUUCGGGAUGUUUGGACUCGAGCAAUUUCUCAAGUCUAAGGGUUGCUUCAGGUAUGCAAUCCUCCUUGAUGUAAGACUCCGAACAAAGACCGAAAUUUUCUAGGUUGACCUCUUCGUCGAGUUGAAGGCAAAAUAAGUGGCUAAAGACCUGAAAGGUGAGCAUAACAUUACAAACUGCCAAUCAGAUUUACGUGAAUAUGUGCUAUAUAAAUUUAAUAAUCAUGGAAGAAUGCAAAAAUUGUUAAUGCUAAGAAUUACUAUUAGUUUUCUAAAUUCCUAAAUCCUCUUCAUAAGUUUCCCUAGUUAAAAAAAUCACGACAAAAAUCAAACAAUCAAUAACAUCUUAGCAGGCUAUAGCAAUUUUUGGCCAGGACUGUAUAACUAGUAAUAAGCCUUUAAAAUAUAUUUGUAUUACAUUUAUAGAGAGUGAGAAUAAGCUAUAAAACAAUCAAUAAACUUUGAUUAAUGACAAUAUUUAUGAAGUUGUUUAUUCUCACCUCUUUCAUCCUUGAAACAACUGCGUCCUUAAUGGCAGGAGACCUUGAGACCAAAUUAAUAACAGAGACCUUGCUCAGAAAGGGUAUCUUUUACAUUUUGGAGAAAAGACUUCCACAAAAUCAGCAGCAGGACAGGUCAUUCCAGAGCUAUAAAGACAAUAUAACAGAGAUGAUUAAAAAUAUUAAAAGACCUCCAGCGUUUCAAUGACAAUUGUUGCGACUGUUAAUAGCUCCAUUCACCUUGAGUCUGAAGAGUUCACAUCAACAAUAAGUAUGUCAAUAGCAGUACUUCUUCGGCUUCCUGCAUCUGAAAAAUUGCAACUUCCAUUGGAAGAAAGGAGCAUUUCAUUGCUUGAAGCAUUCUUGUUUUUGUGAAGAGGCACAUCCCCUGUUGCAGAUAAGUUUCUGUAGUCCAGAACAAAUUCGAUGCCAUCGGCGACAUGUAGCUGAAAACUAUUGGAAAGCCUAAUGUUUUUAAAGCUCUAUAAAAAAAAGAAUAUUAUAUCUGCCAUCUUAAAGUUAUUUACAUUUACAUAAGCAUUCUUGAAAAGGUGAAACAAAAAAAUUAUUUUCCUAUUUUAUUCACUCUAUCUGCUCCAACUUUUAUUAUUAUACCCAAGCCAUCAAGAAGAUUAUCAACGGAAUAGAGCCUUGAUGUCUUGAGCAAAAUGAACCAAGAGCCAAACCAUGAAAUUAAUAUAUAGUAACAAAUUAUACAGAUAUGUAAUUAGAAUAAUAAUUACAGACAGGUAAUUAUAAGCCUCAGUUGAGUAUAGAGCUAACAAAAAGUACUCGGAGCAUAAAACAGGGUGAUGCACUGAGGUAAAGUCAGUUACCUUCAAACGUUUAUCUUCAGUAAAACCAAAGUGGUCACUUGCAAGGUUAACCAUAGUAGGAUCUAGCUCCACUGCCUGAGGAUAAAAAUUUCAUUGCACGAUUUCCAUAAAGUAAAACCAACUUCAAAAACAAUGAGAAGAGUCAUUAAAUUUAAAAAAAAAAACAAUUCCUUUUGAAAACCAGCUUGGCAGAUUUUUAAGGGGGUAAAGUAAAAAUUACCUUAAUUUGCAUAAAUUACAUAUAUCCAUGAAGAAACAUAGGAAGUAAACCCGCACCAAGACCUAUCACAACUGCUUUAACCUGAGACAGAUGAUUUUUAACAUGAGCAGCACAUCACAAACAAACGCAUCAAUGAUUUCAGAGAAAAGGUCAAUCACACGGCCUUUGCCUAUUGAGACUAAAACAUUGUGCACCAAUGCUUAGACCUCCAAAUUUGAAAGUUGGCUAAAGUUGGUCCAUGUCUGACACACAGAAGAAUGACCCGCAGUUCAGAAAGAAUGUUCAUUUCUUCAUCAAUGUAAACCGAAUGAUCACCAAAAUAUACUUUAAUCAAGCAACCAUGAAUUUUUAAUAUACAAUGAAGACAUCAAAACCAGGCAAUUACAGAUAUCUAAAGAGUUGGAGGGCAAAAAUCUAUCAAAUAUUCCACAAGGGAAAGAGUAUAAGCCAUAUUUUAUUCCCAGCUGAUGCCUUUCCAAAUAGGAUGAAAUCAGUGAAAACCUAGAAAUGAUCCCUGUAUGAUAAGAACUAGCCAAAUAACCAUGAUACACCUUCAUCUCGCUGCUUGAUUCUAUAUAUUAAGAAAAAAUCAGAAACAAGCUGUUUAAAAGAAGCUUUUUUGGAUGGAGUACAGUAAUUAAACAAUUAAAAAAGGCAAUAAGCAGAAUCUUAGAUGGAAGGUAAUUUCAGUAUUUUGAAGACAUGUUGCUCAAGGACUCAAAAGUGGAUCUGCUUCAACAGACGCUAACUAAUAAAGAGCACGUCCUCAGAAGUUUGCUAAUCCAAUGAUUUCUGUCCAAUUAUCUUAGAAAUAGCACCAUAUUUCUCUCCCUUUACCAAUAAUAAUACAACAAAACAGACAUUAGCGCCAUUCAAAUGCACAGGAAUCAUAUAAAACUUAUAACAAAAGCAAGAAAAAACCGUCUAACAACAGAGGUCUAAGACAUUAAUAAAUUCAAAAGAACAGCAUAAAGGCAUGAGAUAAGAGUCAGCAGGACCAUAGUCUUCCAGUUUAGUAUUAAACAUUUUGCCAUCACUCUGUUUCCAAUAAACAAAUUUGUAGUCAAAUCUCUGCCCCUGCAAUCUCUUUUCCUAUCCCAAAUUAUAGUCUCAAAGAAAUUAGUCAUAGAGACUAAGAAAAGGAAACAUAUAUAUGCACAAAUCAAAAGGACCAAAGCAUCCCAAAACGGAAAAUGCAAUCCACUUAUUACUCAACCUAACAUUUUGCAAAAUUAUGAUUGAAAUCUAGGUGUUAAGCUUUCUAGUAAAUGGUUUGAGUGUUGGAAUUAGAUUUAGACAAAAUGAUUGAAGAAAAGGAAAAGAGCUUAAAAAGAAAGGAAAACCUCAAUUCAAUUUCUUAAUUAUUAGUUUUGCUUCUUCUUUACAUUCAUCAACAUUCAAUUUGCUGAAUCCAAUAUCUGAUUGAAUAUCUCUCUACCUAUGUCAAUGAGGAGAUGGUGAACCAAACAGUGGCCAUAACUGGCUUCUCUCCGGAAAGUCAACUUUUUUUAUGUUUCCUUAAAACCCCAUCAAUUGUUUUCAACUUUCUGGUAAGUUUUCUUCUCUUAGGUGCUGUCCAUAGUAUCUUCAUCUUAAAAACAAGCAGUGGCCAUAUGUUGUAGGAUAGAAGACCUUUAACGAAAUAUGAAUUUGGUGCUGCCCAAAGCAUAGAAAUCAUUCCCUCAAGGGAUUUGGAGCCAUGGAAGUGAUGAUUUCUCACUUGUUGGAGGAGUUCAAAAUUUUCUGAAUUCACAAAAGAAGUUGGUGAAAUAACCAUCCUGGUUUAUAGCAUUGUUAGCAUCAAGUUCACUACUAGAGAUCAGACUACCCCAAAUGGCCAGUGAAUUGAAGCAUAGCAUGCUCAUCUUAUGUCUCCCAAUAUCUAUAAUUUCUUGAACGAAUCAUUCCUAUACGAUACUCUUAGCAACUUCAAGAUGAAUUCCUGUAUGAAAAAGCAUUUCCAGUACUUUCUGCAAGUACAUGGUAUAUUCAAAAUGAUAUUAGCUUCCAGUCGCCUGAAAAUUUAUGUUGUAAGUUCAAUGGCAUAAUGGUUGAAGUUUUUGAAAACAUUGUUACCUGCUGUAUGAUUUUGAAUACAUGCAUAUAUUAUAGUACGAAAGCAUGUUAUCUGUAUAUAACCAUUGUGAUCUUGAAUUACUUUUUGCAUAUUUAGUCAACUUAAUGCAUAAGCUCAGGUUUAAUUCACAACGUUCGUAGAGCACUCGAGACUGAUCCUUACCUCAAAUGUAUUUUGAUCAAAGAAGAGGACUGGCUACUAGAUGCCCGGGAGUUCAGUCCCUGCAACAAAGAUACAGUUAGAUAUGAGUGGAAAAGGGGAAAAUUUUUGGAUUUUGUACAAUGAUUUAAGAAUUAGAAUUAGUUGCUAUAUCAGAAUUCAGAGCAAUGCUUCCAAUAGAUGAGAUCAAUGUGCAUAUUUUAACAUCUAGUGAAGACCUAGGGAAUAAAUUAUCGAAAGGAUUUACUUGAAUGAUACAAAAGUGAGUUUAUGUAAGUUGCAUCACCACAAACAAGAAAGGCCCUUCCUUGCCUCCUGUAGGCAAUCUAUGCUGAUGCUCCAUACUAAGCGACCACCUUUGGUUUUAGACACCUGCUACAAAUUUCUGUUAUACUUUGGGUCAUUUUAGACAACGCAGUCUGUGUCCUCUCAUGCAAGGACAUGAAACUGAGGGGGAAAAGGUCAUUUACCUGUGAUUGCAAAUAAGAUGCAGUUGAAGCAGCAAUUUCAUAGCUAAUAAGUUACAGAUAAGUGGAAUAAGCCUCUAAAAAGUAUGUGUAACUGUAUUCUGGUGAUUGAUUCAUGCUUUCUUUCCGUGGAAUAUAGGUAGCAAACAGCAGCCUGCAGGCCCUUGUAUCUUCUCAAACCAUUGGCCUAAAAAUUAUAAGGAUGAAGUUACUCCAUUUCGGUAGAACAAUUAAUCAAGUUUUUCAUUUACAAAAACCUCAAUUCAUAAGAAGCUUUUAUCAUUUUCUUCAAAGCUAAAAUUAGUGACUUAAUCAAGACCACAUAACAAUUUAAGAAUGUUUUUCUUCAAAUUUAGACCAUCAAAAAGAUUCCGAUUCAUUCAUACCCUUUAAGCUGUUAAAAGUUGCUCUGAACUGCCCUCAUUUUUUUCUUAGUCAAGGUCUACUCUACAUUGACAUAAGCUUAGGAUUGCAACUAUAUAACAAUAGGGCUUACAACAAAACAUUUUUCUUUGUCUAUGUGCGAGUGUAAAAUUAUAGAAACAAGGAAUAAGGUUGUAUUAAAAUGAAGAAAAUGUUAGAGGAAAUUAUUAUGAACUACAAAAGGUUUGGGAAAACCUAUCAUGGGAAAUAGAGAUGCAUACCUGGAUUUCUGAUACAAAAUAAGCCAUUCCAGACGAGAAGGGCAAAAUGGUUUGGCUUCAAAGAAUGAUAAAUAGACCAGACACAUUAAAAGGCUUUUUAUAAUCAUAUCUCACUCCAUCUCCAUCAUGAUCAAGGACUUAAUCUCAAAUAAUCACAUUCUGUUUCCGUCUUUUCAGUGCAUUGGUAUAGCAUGUGUACAACUAAUUAAACAACAAAGGAUCUUUGCUUGAGCUUGGUCUUUUAAGAUUAUUUCAUUGUAAUACUAGUCACUAUUCAUUCUACAUGCCAUAUCUUGUUUCAGGUUCCUCCUGCACUGCAACAUUGUAACCGGAAAUUAUAAUUAUAACAGACUCAUUGAUAAUGAAUAUCACUAUUACAAGAACAAAUAUUAUAUGAUAGUAAACAUUGUCAAGAGAGAAAAAGGAUGUUAGGAAAUUUAAAGAAUAUCAUAAUUUGCAACAACAAUCUUUUCAAUUUAAAAAUAUUUUACAAGUUUCUAAAGAAAAUGUUUACCUGCUAUUUUGAAAGAUGAAUUGAAGCUAAGCAUGCUCUUCAUAUGUCUCCAAAUAUCUAUAAUUUCUUGAAUGAAUCGGUCAUAUACAUUACCAUUUACAACUUCAGGAUAAAUUCCUGUAUGAAUAAGAACUUCCAGCACUGCCUAAAAGAACACAAUACAUUCAAAAUGAUAUUAGCUUCCAGUCAUAAUAAAAGGUUUAGGAAAAACCUAUCAUAGGAAAUAGAGAAGCAUACCUGGAUUUUUUUAAACAAAAUUAGCCAUGCCAGGCAAGAAGGGCAAAAUGUUUUGUCUUCAAAGAAUGAUAAAUAGACCAGAUAUCUUGAAAAGGUUUUUAUAAUUAUAUCUCACUCCAUUUCCAUCUCCAUCAUGAUCAGGACUUAGUCUCAAACAAUCUCAUUUUGUCUUCAUCUUUUUUGGUUCAUUGAUACAGCAUGUAUGCGACUAAUUAAACAACAAAGGAUCUUUGCUCAAGCUUGGUCUUUUAAGAUUAUUUUGUUGUUAGACCUGUCUCUUUUCCUUUUAGAUGCCAUAUCUUGUUUCUGGUUCCUCCUGCACUACAACAUUAUAACACAAAAUUAUAACAGACUCGUUGAUAAUGAAUAUCACUGCUACAAGAACAAAUAUUACAAGAUACUGAACUUUGUCAAGGGAGAAAAAAAAAUAAGGCUACAAAAUUUAAAGAAUAUAAUAAUUUGCAGCAACUAUCUUUUCAAUUUAAAAAGAUUUCCCAAGUUUCUAAAAGGAAUGCUUACCAGCUAUUUUGAAACAUGAAUUUUGAUGCUUAUCUUCUUCCUUUUCCCUUUCUUUUUGAAUUUGUCUAGCCAUAUAUUUCCGAACUCAUUCAGCACUGUGUAUCCCAUACAUAAACCAAUGACCAAUCCACUACCAUAACCGAUCAAUGCAAUUUUCCAAACAGAUAUACCAUCUACCCAUGAAUCUACAUCUUUCUUUGGAAGGGGCACCAGAACACCAAAUUCAUUGCAUUUCCAUGACAAAGGCGGCCCGCAUAAUCUUGGAUUCCCUUUGUAAGAAUCAGUUGAAAAUGUAUUGAAUUGGUUGCUUUGUGGUAUGCUCCCUUCAAGUUGGUUGUAAGACAGGUUUAGUGCUUCCAGGAAAGUUAGACUUGUAAGUUGAGGAGGAAUCUUCCCGGAAAGUUUGUUCUGUGAGAGGUCCAAAGACUCAAGGUCUUUUAGGUUCCCAAGUGCUAAUGGAAUUUGGCCAGAGAAGCUAUUUUGGGAUAAGUUUAGCACCAUGAGUGAUUUGAGAAAUUGUAUUUUUUCUGGUAUUCUCCCACGGAAACUAUUGUUGGAAAGGUCAAGACAAGUAAAAAUGGUUAAGAUUUUCUUGUAAAAAAUUACAAUCCCUUUAUUAACAAUUGUCACAGAGUCUUGAUAGUACCGUUCUCCAAUAUAAUCUAGCCUUGCUUUGUUGCCAUCAGUCAUCAAAGUCAUUGCCCUCAAACAUUGCAAAAAUUCUAUGGAUAAGUCACCUGAAAAGUCGUUGGAAGCAAUGUCCAAUAUCCGUAGCAUUGAAAAACCACCUUUCAUUUCGAAAUUUUUAAUUGCACCAUAAAAUCUGUUUGCUCGUAGAAUGAGAACCUUCAAGGAAGGCAACAUCUCCAACCAAACCGGAAAUGUGUCAUGAAUCAUAUUGUUUCCAAGGUCUAAAACCUCAAGUUUUGUGCAAUUGGCUAAUGAUCUUGGCAACUUCCCUUCCAAUUUAUUCCCACCAAUUUUGAGUGACCUUAAUUGAGUAGCUUGAAGGAAAUCAAUGGAUAGUUCACCAGAAAAUUCAUUAGAAGCAAUGUCAAGUACAUCCAACACCGGAAAACCAUUUUUAUGUUUCGAAUGUUUAAUUUGACCAUAAAAUCUAUUCUCUCGCAGUAUCAGAACCUUCAGUGCAGGUAAUUUUUCCAACCAAAAAGGGAAUGUAUCAUACAUCAUGUUGUUUCCCACAUCCAAAACUUCGAGUUGAGUGCAUUUGGCUAGUGACUUCGGCAACUUCCCUUCCAAUCUAUUCUCACUAACUUUGAGUGUCCAUAGUCGGGUUGCUUCUGCAAAAUUUGGUAAGAUUCCGCUAAAGUGAUUUCCUUGAAGGUCCAACAAAUCGAGAGUACUGAUAUUGCCUAAGCAACUUGGAAUUGUGCCACUCAAAUUGUUAUAAGAUGCAUUGAAAAUCAAAAGUUGACUCAAAUUGCAAAUAGGUCUGAGGGAAGAGCCUUGUGAAGAAGUUAGAGAUUGAUUGGGUAAAAAUUGGUCCAAAGAUGAGAGAUGAUUGUUAGAAAGAGACAAAUAACCCAAACUUUUCUUCCACAACCAGUUUGGUACUGCACCACUUAUUGUGUUGUUUGAAAGGUCAAGAUAUUCUAAGUUCUCUUGACUCUUUAAAAACUCUGGAAAUGUACUUAUAUUACAGGAUCUUAAAAUCAACCCCCACAGCAUUGGAAAGGAAGAGUUUGCAUCACCAAAGGGAAAUUGUUUUGGGAAAUCAAUGGCGUUGAAAGAAAGGUCUAAAUAUAGAAGAGUGGUCUUCCACAGCCAAUUAGGCACAAAACCAUGGAUUUGGUUGUUAGAAAGAUAUAGGGCAACCAACUUGUCUUGUGUUUUGAUGAAUUCAGGAAAUUCUGUAAGGUUGCAAGAUCGUAGGCUAAGAUAAUAUAAUUGGGGAAAAGUAAAGUUUUUGUUGUUGCUUUCAAUUGAAAAGGAGGAGUUUGCAUCACCGAAAGGAAACUCUCUUGAAAAAUUAAUGGGAUUGAAAGAAAGGUCUAAAGACAGAAGAGUGGUCUUCCACAACCAAUUAGGCACAAAACCAUGGAUUUGGUUGUUAGAAAGAUCUAGAUCAGCCAACUUGCCUUGUGUUUUGAUGAAUUCUGGAAAUCCAGUAAGGUUGCAUGACCUUAGGGCUAACUCCUCCAAUUGGGGAAAU